AGAAAAACCCUAAUCAGACCUAAAUCCCUUCGUUUUCUUCUUUGUGAGUUCAGAAAUUGGGGUUUUGGUGAGUGGGUAAGCUUGAGUGCUUGAUCUGUUCUUCCUUCGUGGUUUUCUGGGUAUUUUAGGGUUUGAGUGUGUUUGAGAGAAAGGAGAUCUGUUCUCCUUGAGGUACUCUGGUGGUGUAUAUUUGGAAGUGUGAAUCUCUGGUGUGAAAUUGGAAGGCUGAGCUGAAAUCUCAAUCUAUUUGUUUUUCCAAUUUAUUUCAUACCUUGUAUUUCUUUCUUCCUUUUAUAUUUUUUUCAUACCUAUAUAUAUAUAUCUAUUCUUCUUGGCAGUAAUUAAUACUGCCUAAGGGGAAUUCAUAUAUAACUUCAGUAGGUUGUAAAUGGAGCUUGGCGAUUUGAUACCCUACAGUGGUAUCAGAGCUAUGGCUAUAGCUUAGCUCUACUCAAAGCGGAGUAAUUUUCAAAACCUAACUUGGUUUUGUCAAGGUAACACCUCUGAAACCCUAAUUUUGUUUCCUGUUCGUUGACCUGUGGAGAUUGGGAGCCCUGUGUGGCUAUUGAGUUGGCCCUGUGUGGCGUGUGUUGGGUUUCGGGCACGCGUACGCAGCGGAAAACAAAAAUUUUACGUGAUUUAAACGACUUUAAAACACACAAGUACAUGCCCGAUAAAUUAAAUCAAUUAAUUGCGUACCUUUGCGCUUCCAGCGAAAUUAAAAAACAACAUACAUGCUAAUAAAUUUAACCGAAUUUAAAUCAAUUAACAUGCUCGCAUUUAAACCAAAUAACAUGCUUGCAACGAUUUAAUCGAUUACACAUAAUCACAUAAAAUCAUACGAACAUAAGCAUGAAAUCAUAGUUUAAAUUUAAACCCUAAAACGAAACUAGGGUUUCGAGUUUUUACCUCUUGACGCGUGAGGUAGGAGCGAACGAUACGUCGUGAUUACUACGGAAACCAAUCCGUAGAAUCGGGGCAGCAAUGGAGCAGCAGCAGCGGCGGUGUGGCAGCUCACGGCGGCGCGUGUAGAGCACGCGCGGUCUUCCGGGGCGGCGCGUGGGGCAGCGUGCAGCUUCGGCUCGUGCGUUGCUCCUCGAUUCUUCGAUCUACGGUCUUCCUCCUCUCGGAUUUCACCUCGUAUACUUCGAUCUACUAAAUCGUGGCACUAGACACGAAAUAGUUAGAAUAAAACGGAAAGAAUAAUGAAGGAGAAAGGAUACCGAACAAGAACGGCCGACGAACGGCCGUUUUCCGGCGACGGAGCGACGCCAACGGCGGAGGUGGCCGCGCGGGAGAGGGGCGAGAGAGAGAGAGAUCGGCCGCUUAGGGUUAUGGUUUGUGUUGUGUGUGCUAGGGUUAUAAAUCAUGUAUUUAUAGUCCCUUGCAUGAAAUCCUAGCGGGCUUAAGUUGGACUGGGCCCAACAGCUUAAGCUCGUUAGUUUCUUUAAUCGCUCGUAUCUCUCAAUUCAAUGAUCGAAAAAUUGUAACGAUUACAAUUUCCGAGUCAUUAUAAUUUUCUCGUCGUUAGGAGUGCCAUCUCUUAUUUUCCAACUUUCCAAAAGUGGAAACCCUAGUUCAGUGGACUUUCUAAAUUUGGAAACUUCUCGAUUUAGAAAGUUCACUAACACGUUCGCUUAUUCCUUUCCUUUUCUUAUUCUCAUUCAUAAUUCCAAAUUACGAAUGUUGGACUCAAUCAUAUUGACUUCCAAUUAUGCAAAGAUAAACUAUUUUAUCUCUGACCGUUUAUUCAAAGAUCUCAUGUGCACGAGCAGUGUGACCCUCGAUGGUUCAGGUGUAAGCUAGCCGUGGGCCCACAACCCUUUGUGGUCAAAACUCGUCCCCUUCGAGUUACGAUUAAGAUGAAGCUCGUUUCACCUUAAUCACCCAACGAAUCAAGAUUGGCGUCUAGCAACUACGCGUCAUGAUUCCCUAGAUACAAAUGAAGUGCCUGCAAGAACCUUCAGAUAUAGUUAACGUACAGUACGGUCCCUUCGAUUCAUAUGUCCCGAUCGAACUAGAGGCAUUGGUUCAUCGAGACCUCUUUAUAUGUUCAAUAACGGUGCGAUCGUUCUAAGUGUUGUAAUCCUUACGUGCAUGACUUAAAGAAUCGAAUUCUCUAAUCAUCACUUAGUCAGCUCUGGCCAAAGACUUAGAAUGAUUACAAACUUUCAGAACACACAGGACAUCCAAGACUAUUCUAGCGAUCGAAUCCCCGACUACAAUGCACAGACCUCCCACUAGAUUUCGGACUGCACGAACACUGGCCCUUGGGAUGGUCCUCGGUGGAACUCAGGGACAGGUCACGAUACAGCUGGUCCUCUAGUGAAGUCACGGUGAUGUCUAGGUCAUAAGGACUAAUGGUGUACAACUAUACCAUAGAUAUCUCUACUCGAUUAUUGGGAACCACUUAGAGAUUUCUAGGGUGAGGGAGUUCAGUGAACUCGUCAACUUACGAGCACCCACUUAUGCAUGCCGAUAUCACAAUACCGUUUACUGAUGAGAUGCAGUACACAUACACUAAGUGCUAGUCUUAAUGGGAAAGGCCGAUAUCCUCAUUAGUGGCGUAACCCUUCGACUAGGAACACGUUUAACAGUUAUAAUACUUAAGUAAAUAUCUCACGAUCCUAACGAUCAAUUACUAGUACUUGUAAUAACUGUAAGGACUAUAUCUAUGCUUGUGACAAAGGGACAAAGAUAUAGAAUGCCAAGGUGUUUUAUCAUUAAUACGAAUAAAGGUUCGUUUAUUACAAUAAUAAAUACGAAAAACCACAGCCACAUGUUGGCUUGUUGGUCACCUACUCUAACAGCGUGGUGGCCCUGUGUGGCAUUAUGUGGCCCUGUGUGGCAUUAUUUGACCUUGCUUGAUCUUUCCCUCUCUUCUACUUGCUUUUUUCCGCACUUAGUGUAGUUAAGGAUUGCUCUCAUCCACCCUUUCUUGUCCGGACCGCCUUAGUGUCGCAGGAAUCUAGAAAGGGGAUGGCAAUCUGAUUUGUUACUGCUCUACUCUGUAUUUUCUGUGUGAUUCUGUGUGACUGUGUGAUUCUGUGUGACUGUGUGAUUCUGUGCCUCUUAUCUGUGUGAAACAAUGAAUGCUUAUCCCUUAGCUCCUUUUGAUGGAAAAGGGGAUUUUCCUAUUUGGCAACAGAAAAUAAAAGCUGUUUUAGUACAACAAAAAUGUUUUAAAGCUGUUACUUUAGCUUAUGAUGAUACCACUCCUGCUGCCAAAAAGGCAGAAUUUGAUGAACUUGCUUAUUCUUUGAUUAUCUUGAACCUAAGUGACUCUGUGAUUAGAAAACUAGGAAAACAAGAUAAUGCUAAAGCCUUGUGGGAUAAAUUGGAAGAACUUUAUACUGAAACCUCCUUGCCCUCCAAAAUGUUUUUGUUGGAAAAAUUCUUUAGAUUCAAACUGGAUUUAAACAAAGACAUUGAUGAAAACCUUGAUGUUUUUACAAAACUGGUUCAGGAUAUUAAACUGACUGGAGACAAAAAUAUUGAUGAUUAUUCUCCUAUUGUUUUGCUAAAUGCUAUCCCUGAUACUUACAGUGAUGUAAAGUCAGCCAUUAAGUAUGGCAGAGAUAAGGUUUCUUUGGACACUGUGAUAAAUGGUUUAAAAAGCAAAGAACUGGAUUUAAAAGCUACCAAGGGUAGUAAAUCUUUUGGUGAAAUCAACUUUGUGAAAGGGAAGCCUAAAAAUCAGUUUCAAAACAAUUUUCAAAAUAGAUUUCAAAAUAAGGCUUCCUCAAGUAACCAAAACCAGUCUUUACAAAAACCUAAAAAGGGCAAGGGGUGGAAUAAGUUUAAAGCCAAAGGCAGAAAGUGUUAUAAUUGUGGUAAAAAUGGUCAUUAUGCUAAUGAGUGUUCUGAGCCUAAAAAGGAAAGAACCAAUGAACAUGCUAAUGUUGUGACUGAUAACCUUGGUGAUGUGUUUAUGGUUGGUGAUGUAAUGCAUGAUUAUGUGAACUCUGUGAUCUCCUCUCUAUGUGAUAAUGAUUGGAUUUUUGACUCUGUAUGCACCCAUCAUAUGACACCUCAUAGACAUCUGUUUUCUUCUUAUGUGAAACUUGAAAAUGGAAAUGUGUCUAUGGCUGAUAACAGUGAAAGAACUGUAGUUGGAAUUGGAACAAUCUGCCUAAAAUUUGAAUCUGGUUUUGAAUUAAUUCUUAAGAAUGUUAGGCAUGUUCCUCAACUUAGCAGUAAUCUUUUGUCUGUUGCUAUUCUUGAAGAUAGUGGUCUGCAUGGUAAUUGGGGAGAUGGUUGUCAAAGAAUCAUGUUGCAUGAUAAAUUUGUUUUCAAAGCUGUUAGAAUGCAAAAUCUCUAUGUGUGUUCUGCUGAACCUGUUUUGCAUGCCAACACUGUUAAUCAUGACAUGUCUAUUCUAUGGCAUAAGAGGUUAGGUCAUAUAAGUGGUAAAGGUCUUGAAAUUCUGCAUAAGAAUGAUUAUCUGAGUGAUGAUUGUGUGACUGAUUUACCUAUAUGUGAUUCAUGUAUCCUUGGAAAACAAACUAAAGUGAAAUUUCCUGUGUCUCCAUUCCCCAAUUCUUCUAAAUGUUCUGAUAUACUUGAAUAUGUGCAUGCUGAUGUGUGGGGCCCUGCCCUAGUUCCUUCUCAUGGUGGUAAUAGAUAUUUUCUGUCUAUUGUGGAUGAUUUUUCUAGAAAAGUGUUUGUGUUUUUACUCAAGAAUAAAUCUGAUGUGUGUGAAAGAUUUAAAAAUUGGAAAAUCUUGAUUGAAAACCAAACUGGAAAGAAAAUCAAAACUUUGAGAACUGAUAAUGGAACUGAAUUCUGUAAUGCUGAAUUUGAUACUUUGUGUUCUGAAUCUGGCAUUAAGAGACACAAAACUGUUGUGUAUACACCUCAACAAAAUGGUAUUGCAGAAAGAAUGAAUAGAACUUUACUUGAUAGAGUUAGGUCUAUGCUAAAUUCUUCUGGCUUGAAAAAACCUUUUUGGGGUCAAGCUGUUCUUAUAGCUGCUUAUUUGAUAAAUAGGUCUCCUUCUGUGCCCUUAAAUGGGGAAUUACCUGAAUCUAAAUGGUGUGGUAAACCUGUUGAUUUAUCAAAUUUGAAAGUUUUUGGCUGUACUGUGUUUGUUCAUAAAAAACUUGAUAAACUUGACCCCAGAUCUGUGAAAUGUGUUUUCUUAGGAUACCCUGAAGGGGUAAAGGGGUAUAGGUGCUGGUUGUAUGGUGAUCAGGGUUUUAAAACUGUGAUUAGCAGGAAUGUUGUGUUUAAUGAAAAUGAAUUUCCAUGUUUAUCUGUUCCUAAUAUUGUUUCACCUGAUACCACUUCCUCUGAGGUGGAGAUUCCACCUGUUAAUCCUGUUCAAACUGAAAAUGAAAACACUAAUAAUGAAGUUGUUAAUAAUGAGAUGCCUGAAAACACUGUUUUUGAUCAAAAUGUUAAUCUUGAUGUGCCCUCUGUGAAUGAUCUUGGUGAUUAUCAACUUGCUAGGGACAGAGAUAGAAGAAACAUUGUUAGGCCUCCUCAUUUGAAUGAUUAUCAACUUGCUUCUCAUGUGUUUCAUGUGUUUGAUUCUCUAGAUGGUAAUGAACCUAAGUCUUAUAGGGAAGCUUUGAAUUCUAAUGAGUCUGUUGAAUGGUUAAAUGCUAUGAAUGAUGAAAUGAAGUCUUUACAUGUUAACCAUACUUGGAUUCUUGUACCUAAACCUCCUGCAUGCUCUUUAGUGGACUGUAAGUGGUUGUUUAAGGUCAAACAUGAAUCUGACUCUGUUAGAUAUAAGGCUAGGCUAGUGGCUAAGGGGUUUACCCAAAAGGAAGGUAUUGAUUACACUGAAAUAUUUGCUCAUGUUGUGAAAUUCACCACUGUUAGAAUCAUGCUUGCUUUAAUUGCUCACUUUAACUGGGAAUUAAAACAAAUGGAUGUGAAAACUGCUUUUCUGCAUGGGGAAUUAAAUGAGCAAAUAUAUAUGUGCCAGCCUGAGGGUUUUUGUGAUAAAAAACAUCCUGAUUAUGUGUGUCUUCUUAAGAAAUCUUUGUAUGGACUGAAACAGUCACCUAGGCAAUGGAACAAGAAAUUUGAUGCAUGCAUGAUGUCUUUAAAAUUUUAAAGGAGUUCAUAUGAUCCUUGCUUGUACUUUAAAGAAUCUGCUAAAAUUCCUGUGUUCUUGCUUAUCUAUGUGGAUGACAUGCUUCUAGCUAGUCCUUGCAUUCAAACUGUUAAUCAUGUGAUUAAAUGUCUUAGUGAUGAGUUUGAUAUGAAACUUCUUGGUAAUGCAAAAAGAAUUCUUGGCAUGGACAUAAUUAGAGAUAGGACUGGCUGCACUCUGUUUCUGAAUCAAUCCUCCUAUAUUGAGAAAAUCCUUGAAAAAUUUUCUAUGUUGUCUGCCAAACCUGUGUCUGUUCCUCUUGCUCCUCAUUUUUUGCUAAGUAAGGACCAGUCUCCCAAGACUGAGCCUGAAAUUUCUGAAAUGAAAAAUGUGCCAUAUGCCAAUGCCAUUGGCUCUGUUAUGUAUUUGAUGGUUAGUACUAGGCCUGACAUUGCAUAUUCUGUGAGUUGCUUGAGUAGAUAUAUGUCUAAUCCAGGUUUGCCUCACUGGGAGGCUCUAAAAUGGCUGCUUAUAUAUUUGAAAGGUACUGUUAAAACUGGUUUGAUGUUUUCAAAAGGUAAAUCUGAGAUUGAACUCUGUGGUUAUGUGGAUUCAAACUUUGCCAAUGAUAGGGACAAUAGAAAAUCUUCUACCUCCUAUGUGUUCACCUUAAAUGGUGCUUGUGUUAGUUGGAAAUCUCAACUCCAACACAUUGUUGCUCUGUCUACUACUGAAUCUGAAUAUAUAGCUGCUACUGAGGCUAUUAAAGAAGCCAUUUGGCUUAAAGGGCUGUUGUUGGAAGUUGAUAUGCUUAAUUCCAAAGUGGUAGUAUUUUCUGAUAGUCAAUCUGGCAUUCAACUGUGUAAAAAUCCUGUUUUUCAUGAUAGAACUAAACACAUUGAUGUGAAGUUCCAUUUCAUUAGGGAUGUGGUUGAAAAAGGGAUUAUUGACCUUGAAAAAAUCCCAUCUGAGUUCAAUCCAGCUGACAUGGGAACUAAAUGUCUGCCUUCUGAAAAAUUCUGUUCUUGUUUGCAAAACUUGAACAUUCUGUCCAAACCUUGACUUGCUGUGUGCUAGUUUGUAGUCUGUGUGACUUGGUAUUUAUGCUUUCUUUGUGAUUGCAUGUUUAAAUCUUUUUCUAUGUGACUAAGAUUGUGCUGUCUGUGUGAUUGCAUUACUGCAUUUAUUUUAAAGUGCAAAUAAGUUGUAUUCUGAGUGAAUUCAACUAGAUAUACUUGUAUGAACUGUGUGCUCUUACUGGUGUGUCAAAAAUACAGCAAUGAUGACUUCCAAAAUUUUUUUGUAAAUUUUCACUAAUGAUUCACAUUUGGUCCAAGGUGGAGAAUUGUUGGAUUUUGGCCCAAAUAUGUUCUGGGCCAUAAAGCCCAAUUGCCAUUAUUUAUAUACACCACCAUGAGUUGAGCCCAAGUUAUAUUAAGUGAGCCCAGCCCAUUUUGUAGCCAGAUCCAUCCGUUGGAUCUCAGGCUUAAUCUGGACCGUUCAGUACCUCACUUAAAUAGCAUUUUCUCUCUCUUCGUUUCUCUCACUCUGAACCCUAACUCUUACCCUCUCUUCUCCGCCGCUCCUGCUUCUGUCUUCUUCCUCCCUUGUACUGCCUUGACUGAGUUAUGGCUGGAGGUCAAAGUGCACGGCACAAUGCUGACUUUGACCCUCCGGUACAGCCUUCACCGGCUCUCUUUGACUUCAGUCCCUAUAUAUGUUGGCAUGGAGGCUGGAAGAUGGAGAGACAGAGAAAAACCCUAAUCAGACCUAAAUCCCUUCGUUUUCUUCUUUGUGAGUUCAGAAAUUGGGGUUUUGGUGAGUGGGUAAGCUUGAGUGCUUGAUCUGUUCUUCCUUCGUGGUUUUCUGGGUAUUUUAGGGUUUGAGUGUGUUUGAGAGAAAGGAGAUCUGUUCUCCUUGAGGUACUCUGGUGGUGUAUAUUUGGAAGUGUGAAUCUCUGGUGUGAAAUUGGAAG
rnacentral:lncRNA from 1 species